AUUGUACAAGAGGACCUCGGGAGGCUGGCUUUCCUGGCUUUGGAAGGCUCACCAGAAACAGAGCACAAGCAUUUUUGUAAACUGUUAAGUAUUACAGUGCAAUUUGGCUGUACAGGCCCCUAAGAAACAUUAGCAACAGUGUGGGCACACCUGAUGAAUACUCUGGCUCGAGAAUUUUUCCCGCUACCCACAAAAGCACCUCACUUAUUUAUUUUGCAUUUAUAUCCCACUGUUCCUCUGGCCUCCAUUUUGUCCUCCCAGGACCCCUGCGAUGCUGUUUAGGCAGACAUGCAGUGCUUCAUCUAAACUCCCCCGUGACUUUCCGCGGCAGAAGGACUUGAACCCACGUCACCCGGUCGAACAUUUUAGUCAUUACACUUUUCCAGGUUGCUAAAUAAACGGGAGGCCCAGUUCGGGGUUUUCUGUCCUACUGGGAGCAAACUCCACGUAUAGGGGUAGCCCUGCGCUCUUUUCACUCGCUUCUCUUUUGCUUUUCAAAACAACUCUGGAAUUGUACGCAACUUUAUGCAACACCAUUGCUAAGCUGCCCAGGAGGGGGCUUGACGGGGAAUGCGGAGAGCGAUCGGCGACGGUCNGGAAUCUCGGUGGAAGGGAAAUUCAGGAAAACUCUGCCUUGGCUCCUUUGAUGCUUAGAAAGUGAAACGAAAACGGAGCUCUGUUCCGUAGAGUACCGAAGGGACGCCUGGAGCUGUGGAACGCGCCUCGCCGCCUGUUGCUGGGAUCUCGGCGCCUUAGGAUUUCGCUCCGACAUGCUGAAAAAGGAAUCCAGAGGGAGCCGCUGGCCUGUUGCGNCUGAAGAGCCAAAAGGAGCGCGGCGCGGAUUGGGGGUGGGGGGAGACGGCGCGGGCCGGGUUGGGUUCUUUUGAACAGGUGAAAUUGACGAGCUGAAGCGUGAAACUGACAUACCCCAAGAGGCUAUAGGGAGGUUUCUUUCAGCAGCGCGUAAGCUGCGCCCUGUUUGUUUCCUUUACCGGGGUACNUGGCAAGGGACC
rnacentral:lncRNA from 1 species